rnacentral:snRNA from 1 species
GAAUGUGAGGGUGACGUGUUACACAGUUGAUUUCCAGCAUUAAGAUGGCUGGUCUCAUCUGGCUAAAUGGCUGUCCUUUUCCUCCCUCAUCCCACCACGUGUGUCUCUUUCAAAGCUCUGUGCUCUAUCCAUAAGGAUGACUUUUCUCUGGUAGAGGACAGUCUUUCAGUCAAGUGG